rnacentral:rRNA from 1 species
AUUCCAGCUCCAAUAGCGUAUAUUAAUGUUGUUGCAGUUAAAAAGCUCGUAGUUGGAUUUCUGGUCGGAUCGCCUGGCCGGCUCCGCAAGGGGUCGUGCAUGGGUGCCUUCGUCCAUCCUCAGGGGGCCAGGCGCUGGUAUUCAUUUAUCGGCGUUUAAACGCCUGUCGUUUACUGUGAACAAAUUAGAGUGUUCAAAGCAAGGUGUACUUGAAUACAUUAGCAUGGAAUAAUAAGAUAGGACUUUGGUGGUUCUUUUUGAUAUUUUGUUGGUUUGCACGCCAAAGUAAUGAUUAAUAGGAGCAGUUGGGGGUAUUCGUAUUCAAUUGUCAGAGGUGAAAUUCUUGGAUUUAUAGAAGACGAACUACUGCGAAAGCAUUUACCAAGGAUGUUUUCAUUA